rnacentral:rRNA from 1 species
CACGUAGGCGGCCAGUUAAGUCAGAUGUGAAAGCCCGGGGCUUAACCCCGGAAGUGCAUUUGAAACUAAUUGGCUUGAGUAUGGGAGAGGGAAGUGGAAUUCCUGGUGUAGAGGUGAAAUUCGUAGAUAUCAGGAGGAACACCGGUGGCGAAGGCGACUUCCUGGACCAAUACUGACGCUGAGGUGCGAAAGCGUGGGGAGCAAACA